AGAGGGUGCGAGCGUUAAUCGGAAUUACUGGGCGUAAAGCGUGCGUAGACGGUUAUUUAAGUCGGAUGUGAAAGCCCCGGGCUCAACCUGGGAAUUGCAUUCGAGACUGAAUGGCUAGGGUGCGGUAGAGGGAAGCGGAAUUUCCGGUGUAGCGGUGAAAUGCGUAGAUAUCGGAAGGAACAUCAGUGGCGAAAGCGGCUUCCUGGACCAGCACCGACGUUCAGGCACGAAAGCGUGGGGAGCAAACAGGAUUAGAUACCCUGGUAGUCCACGCCAUAAACGAUGAGGACUAGACGUUGGAGGGGUAAGCCUUUCAGUGUCGUAGCUAACGCGCUAAGUCCUCCGCCUGGGGAGUACGGCCGCAAGGUUG
rnacentral:rRNA from 1 species